UACGUAGGUGGCAAGCGUUGUCCGGAUUUACUGGGCGUAAAGAGCGCGCAGGCGGUCGUUCAAGUCGCGUGUGAAAGCCCCCGGCUCAACUGGGGAGGGUCACGCGAUACUGAUCGACUCGAAGGCAGGAGAGGGUAGUGGAAUUCCCGGUGUAGUGGUGAAAUGCGUAGAUAUCGGGAGGAACACCAGUGGCGAAGGCGACUACCUGGCCUGUUCUGACGCUGAGGAGCGAAAGCGUGGGGAGCAAACAGG
rnacentral:rRNA from 1 species